rnacentral:misc_RNA from 1 species
GCACCUAGAAAGGAGGGAGGGUGAACAGGUGUGGUAAAAUCAAGAAAUAUUACCCUGCAAUGGCAGGACCAAUACUAGUUGCGUCUUCUUUUAUGAUGCAGAAAAUAUUGAUGAUUUGACAAACAGGUACAAGCAAGGAUGCAAACAGCAUUUCUACUUUGAGCAUAAAUUUCUUAAAAACAAGAAUCAAUAUGUAUAGGUUGCAUCUUUGUAUUUCAAGGGAAUUCCAGCAAGGAUAGUUGCUUUUACUUACAUUGGGAGUUGACAGCACAUCAU